UAUUUGACUAAGGGGCAAACCUAAAAUUCUGCUACAGGGCAAUGAGUUUAGAAACAAUCCCUUCAUUGAUGGGGGAAGGGACUCCCAUACCCAGUUCCACCCAGACCAGCCUGCAGGCAAUGGAGGGCCACAGGUUCUAGCCAUGCCUUCUGUGGGGCUCUGAUACUGUCCCUUCUGUGCCUUUUGGAAUACCCAUAGGGUAGCAGAUGACUUCUCUGACUCCUUGCCAGUUUAGUCUCUGCUUCCCUGAAGAUCAAGCCGGGAAGCCUCUUGCCCUGAAUCCCUCAGCUGACCUUCAUCACUUGGGGAGCACAGAAGGCUGAUGGCAGGUGGGACUCAGCCCAACUCUUGCAGCAGAGCAUUCCCAGGUAGAAAAGUCGCAAGAUUGCAAGAGUCAGGCUGCACACCAAAAUGUUGGGACCUUCUUAGAGUUGGCAGAAUUAGGUACCACACUCAGGUUGUCUGGAGUACAGAGUGCUCCCCAGGAGGCAAUGGAGAGGAGGAGGAAAGGAGCACUCUUCUGCACAUGCAGUAUGUGGGCCCUUCAUCUGAUUCCAUGGGGGCCAGGAGGCCCCUGGCACUGUCUGAGUGCCUGUGUGAGGCUGUUCUCCCCCUCCUCAGAACUGGGGAUGGUGCUCAGGGCCUCUUGCACGCUCAGCGCAGCCUCAGCUCACGUGUUCCUUUUCAAAAGAGGAUUCGUGGACAUCUCAGUUAUUAAAAGGAUUCAUGAGAUCCCUAAAGUCAAAGCUGCUGUGUUAACUCCAAAAUGGUGCUCACCAGGCCCUGAUGCAGGCAGGCCAGCAGGCAGGGAGCAUGUGGGUGAGCAGGGGUCCUGGCAAUCCCGAGGGACAGCUGGCUUCUUGUGCCUGAAGAACAAAUUUCACACCUUCUGUUCUCCUUUUCCACAGCUGUGGUGCUUCUGGCGGCGCCGCCUGUUCAUCUGGAUCUCAUUCAUGGACAGCUACUUUGAAAUCCUCUUCCUGGCCCAGGCCCUGCUCACAGUGCUAUCCCAGGUCUUGCGUUUCUCGUCCAUUGAGUGGUACCUGCCCCUGCUUGUGUCCUCACUGGUGCUGGGCUGGCUGAACCUGCUUUACUACACACGAGGCUUCCAGUACACGGGCAUCUACAGUGUCAUGAUCCAGAAGGUGAGCGAUGGGGCAGGGGUGGACACCACAGCCCAGAGGGACUCCCUUUGGCCUCAAGAAACAGCAGUCUUCCUCCACAGCGAACCUGGGCAGAGGAGGGCAUGAGCCUGCCCACCUGAGUGUCAUUCACCCAGAUGUUCGCCCAAUGUUCGUGCAAGUACUUUAUGGGCACUCACGGACACACAGACACACGCACAUGAGUGUUUGGACACAAUCACACCAGAGCACGUGCACCCUUCUUCACAAAGAAGUAGAGGAUACGCUCAUAUGUAU
rnacentral:lncRNA from 1 species